rnacentral:rRNA from 1 species
CCUACGGGAGGCAGCAGUGAGGAAUAUUGGUCAAUGGACGAGAGUCUGAACCAGCCAAGUCGCGUGAAGGAUGACUGCCCUAUGGGUUGUAAACUUCUUUUAUAUGGGAGUAAAAUGUUCCACGUGUGUGAUUUUGUAUGUACCCUAUGAAUAAGGAUCGGCUAACUCCGUGCCAGCAGCCGCGGUAAUACGGAGGAUCCGAGCGUUAUCCGGAUUUAUUGGGUUUAAAGGGUGCGUAGGCGGAUGGUUAAGUCAGUUGUGAAAGUCUGCGGCUCAACCGUGAAAUUGCAGUUGAAACUGGCAGGCUUGAGUACAGUAGAGGUAGGCGGAAUGUGUGGUGUAGCGGUGAAAUGCUUAGAGAUCACGAAGAACUCCGAUUGCGAAGGCAGCUCACUGGACUGCAACUGACACUGAGGCACGAAAGUGUGGGUAUCAAACAGGAUUAGAUACCCUGGUAGUC